GACGAACGCUGGCGGCGUGCUUAACACAUGCAAGUCGAACGGUGAAGGGAUCAGCUUGCUGGUUCUGGAUGAGUGGCGAACGGGUGAGUAACACGUGAGUAACCUGCCCCCUUCUUCUGGAUAACCGCAUGAAAGUGUGGCUAAUACGGGAUAUUCUGGGUCUGUCGCAUGAUGGGUCUGGGAAAGAUAUUGUUUCGGUGGGGGAUGGGCUCGCGGCCUAUCAGCUUGUUGGUGGGGUGAUGGCCUACCAAGGCGGUGACGGGUAGCCGGCCUGAGAGGGGGGACGGUCACACUGGGACUGAGACACGGCCCAGACUCCUACGGGAGGCAGCAGUGGGGAAUAUUGCACAAUGGGCGCAAGCCUGAUGCAGCGACGCCGCGUGAGGGAUGGAGGCCUUCGGGUUGUAAACCUCUUUCGCCAGUGAAGCAGGCCUGCUCCUUGUGGGUGGGUUGACGGUAGCUGGAGAAGAAGCGCCGGCUAACUACGUG
rnacentral:rRNA from 1 species